GGGGAUGACAGGCCUCGAUGAAUUGAUAGAUUAUUCAAUUGCAAGCCGAGUUGAGUUUCUCGUAAAACAAUUCAAAACCUUAGUAACUGGCAAUCAAACUGCUAGAGUACCAGCUCUCGCUUACGCGUAACUGAUACCAUCGGUCUUCAAGGUUCCAUAGAAGGUCACCGGUGUUAUACCUGGAACUAAGGAGUGAGCCGCGGUCCACUACUCACUCACAAAAAUCUGCGGACCAAAAACCCGUACUCGUUAAGAGCACUAAGCUUGUAGACAUUGCUUGAGACAUCAUUCACACGGCGGUUCGACUCCGCCCAUCUCCACCA
rnacentral:tmRNA from 1 species